CUUUAUCUUUAAGAAUCGUACUCUAUUGGAAGUGGUAACUAUACACAUUUUUUAACAUUGGUGCUGUGGCGCCCUCUAUUGCAUGAAAGAUUCAAUGUGCCAAGGUUUUGUACAAUUUUACAUGGACAGAAAAGGCGAUGCGGCUUGGACAAAAUCUAUUCUUCAGGAUUCUCAGCUCCGUUUUGAAUCUAAGGUUUAUUAGCUUCCUUAGAGGUGAUGUCAG